ensembl:lncRNA novel transcript, antisense to ANK3
GAAGUAAUGAAGACAAGGGGGAGACUACAAGAAGCAUUCUGUGGAACCUUACUACGCAAAAGCCAUACCUGUCAUCCAGUCGAUCUAGUAACCCACCAGUUACUCUUCGAGCUUGAGCGCAGGACUCUAGGUUUCCACUUGAUGUCUCAUUCUGCCAACCUGUAAUUGAAGACAUUUCCAGUUCUGCUUGCUGAACACGCUUAAGAAUAGCCUGUACUUUUUCUUCUGUCAUCUCCUCAGACUCUACUCCUUCUUCAAGUUGAAUGUCCUCAAAUAGAGAUUUGAGUUUCUCUUCCAUCAUCUCCUCAUCAGGACCAGAUUUUCCUUUCUCCUGCUGCUCAGAGCUUACUCC